UACGUAGGGGGCAAGCGUUGUCCGGAUUUAUUGGGCGUAAAGAGCGUGUAGGCGGCCAUACAGGUCAGCUGUGAAAACUCGAGGCUCAACCUCGAGACGUCGGUUGAAACCGUAUGGCUAGAGUCCGGAAGAGGAGAGUGGAAUUCCCGGUGUAGCGGUGAAAUGCGCAGAUAUCGGGAAGAACACCCGUGGCGAAGGCGGCUCUCUGGGACGGUACUGACACUGAGACGCGAAAGCGUGGGGAGCAAACAGG
rnacentral:rRNA from 1 species